AAGAAGAUAGCCCCGUAGUAAGUUAAUUUUCAUUAACCACCACGAGGCAUCCCUAUGUCUAGUCCAC
rnacentral:antisense_RNA from 1 species